UAGGGAGACCUACCCAUUGAAGAAUCGAAAGCCGAAGGCGAAUAGAGAAUCAAAUGGUCUACUCUAGGUCGAUGACGUGAGAUUGUGAAGUCUUUCAAACUAAUAUUUGGUUCGCGGGCUAUUAGCUCAGGUGGUUAGAGCGCACCCCUGAUAAGGGUGAGGUCCCUGGUUCGAGUCCAGGAUGGCCCACCUGGGGGUUUAGCUCAGUUGGUAGAGCGCCUGCUUUGCAAGCAGGAUGUCAGCGGUUCGAGUCCGCUAACCUCCACAUUAGGAAGAAACUGGCAACUAGGGAAGACCUAGACUGCUGGUGGAAACCAGCCAGAACCUUGAAAACUGCAUAUAGAUAGAUAAGAGAGCCGAAAUCGAAAGAUAGAAGCAAGUGAAGAACCAAGUGGUC
rnacentral:tRNA from 1 species